AAACAUAUAUAUUUAAUUAGAUUUUUUCAUAUAUAUAUAUAUAUGUUUGAUUUAAUUUUUUCGAAAACAUAAAUAAUAAGUUAUUAUGCUGGGUUUUGAAUUAAUAAAAAAUAAACUAGUAAAUAUUUGUAAAACGAUUAAGCCCGCAUAUGCGGGCAAGACACCUAGUGAAAUCAUAAAAACAAAAAACAAAUUGAAAUAUAAAUGAUAUAAAUGCAUUGAAGAGGUUAUUUCUUAGUUUGCUCAAAUAACUCCAUAAGAAAGGACAAAAAGGUACAUAAGCAUUAUUAUGUAACUAUAGAUUACUCUCAACCCUUUUUUUUUUGAACACGAGCUUUCAUUAAAAACCAUAAAGAGUUAGGUAGGAACCAUGAUUACUCUCAACCCUAUCAUGUAAUUUGUGUUAUUGAACUAAAAUAAAGUGUUGGGUUUUUUGACAUAACAGGAAGCUGGAGAGCCUUGAAGUAAAGAAUAAACCUAUUACUUCCUUUCACAUGAACGUUUUUGUUUCAUAUCUGAGCUUAUUUCUAUUUUCUCCACUGCAGGCAUUAAAGAAGACUUUUAAGAAGCUUGAUCAUGAUGUAAACAUACAUGAGUUUUUAGGAGCAAGGUACUUGCUAUGACUUCAUAUACCAUACUUUUGUCGUUAAUAAGCCUCUGAUAUGGUGUCUUCUCUUUAUGUUGAAGGAAUCAAACUAUCAAGGUAUGUAUCAACCAUCAUGGUUUCUUGAAUUUUGUUAGAUACUUUUAAAGCUCUCGGAGUCAGAUUGCUAAAGUUUUUGUUACCUUUACCACCACGACAGGGUCGAAGUAACCAUGUAGCCAUUUUCCAAGCUCAGCUUAUGGAGUUUCAUAGGAGUCUAAGGCCUAAGGUGUGAAAAUAUUAUACUUUCUUUAGUUUUUCAACUAUCUUGAAAUCUAGUUUCAGUCAUAUUUGAGUCUUCUUCUUCUUAUGGUUGCUGUUUUCAGUUGUUGGACAAACAUCAAUAAAAUAGAAAACGCUGAGCACCUCAUUUUUUUGGAAGAAUCAUUGAGGAAAUCUAUUGAAAAAGUACAAUUUCACAAGGUGUAUAAAAUUUAGUCUCCUUUCAACUCAAUCAUAUGAGCAUCAGUGGGUUUCUUCACUUUGCAGGAACAUUAUGGAAAGAACCAACUUUUGCCAAUAGAAUGUAUAACCACACAGGUUAAAACCAUUUGUUCUCUCUCCCCAUCUCUCACUUUUUUGGGCUUCCAACCUAAACCAAUUGGCAGUAGGUGGAUUGGUUCAAGUCCUUUAUAUAUUAUUUAUGUCCCACUCAAAUCCUCGAUGUGAGACCUUUAUAUUCUCACACACUCUCUGUCUUCAUGAGGACAAUUUCUGAACAAAACCAAAGCUUUAAAACUGCAGUUUCAAAACAUGAUACAGUUGCCCUUGGUGAUGGGAGGUAAUAAUGCCAUGCAAGAAGCUCACUCCAUGACUUGGCUUCCUGAUAACAGUAACCAGCAAACAAUAUUACAUGGUGAUUUCAGCUUUCUUCCUAAUAGACUGCUUCUUUGAGUCUGUAAAACAAGAAGAUCAGAAAUGCAACAAACCUGGACAAAAAUUUGAGCAGUUUGAACAGCAAGGAGAUGGUUGUUUGGGUUUCGAAUAUAUUGGGGAAGAAUAUUUGUAUCCUACACAUUUGGUACUACUCUUGGAAUGGAAGAAGGUCAAGAGGAGAGAAAAACUGAAAUGGAAUUGAACAACUUGCAACAACAACAAGAUCCUUCAUCAAUGUUUGAUCCAACAGCUAGUAGUAGUAGUUGCUUUCAAAUCCCUCAUGAUCAACCCAUGUUUGCCACUGAUCAUCAUCGUCAAAAUUGGGUUUCAGAUUCAAUGUUUGGGUCAAACUUCUUACAACCAGGUUUUGCGUUUUUCACACCUUCCAUUGAAACUAUCUAGAUAUAUGAUCCACUAAAAUGAACAUGUCUAUGUAUCCUUGGUGAUUGCAGCAACCAAACUAACUCAAGAGAGGGCUCAAGUUUGUAAUCUAUUCUAUAGAUGAUGAUUGGACUUACAUCUUAAGAAGGACUAGUUUGAAUGUAUAAUAGAGUGUGUACCUGUAUAAUGUGUUAGUAUGUAUGAGAGCUUGUAUCAUGUACUCAGGGGAGUUUUAGGCAUUUUGCAUGUAAAAGAUGUUGUCUAGGAACCUUAUAUUUUGUAUAAAUGAUAAUGAUUAUAUAUUGUUCCUAUGUUGAUGUUGGCCAGGUGUUUGAGACAACAAAAGAUGGUAUGUUGAUACUACAUAAAAACAUACUCUGAAGUAACAAAACAACAAUAUCAGAUUUAAAUGAUAUUUAAACAAUGAUGUAUUACAAUAAGCAAUCGGAGUUCAACCCAACAAUCUUGACAUGCUAUAGUUCAUCAUCUUGACAAGGUAACUCGAGACGACACAAUGGACAAACAUGACUGGUCUCAAACCACUUUACGAUACACUCAUCGUCAAACUCAUGUCCACAUGAUAAAGUCACAACCAUUCCUCCAUUGCUAAACUCUUGCAAACAAAUCCUGCACUCUUCCAAGCUAACCAUCUUCUUGUUCUCGUUCUUCUUCUUGUAUACUUUCCUGGGUAGCGACUUGACCACGAGCUUGCUAGCUGGUCGAAACCGGAUAUUGCUAGUAUCAUCAAACGAGACUUGAGCAGCUUCUUGAAUCUCAGAGUCAUCAUCAUCAUCAUCGAGAUGAUCAGGAACAAGAUCCAACUGAACUUUCAAAGCACAGCCAGGAGAGUACUCGAUACUUUCAGGGCAUGUUACCUCAUCAACAUAAACAAUUAGCUCCAAUAUCGCAUUAUAGAUAACAUCUUCGGUGAUUCCGGCUUCCAACAAGAAGUAGUUCAAGUCUUCUUUGCUUUUACACUCUUCGUUCUCAUCAUCUAAGAAGUCUUUGGCAAGGGACAGAGUCGUGAAUGUCGAGUUAUCAUCUUGGCCAAAGAUCUUAGCCGUGACUCUGAGUGUGCCCGCAUCGUCUGAUUCAGGGUAGUUAUCGAUUUCGUGGGAUAGUUUGUGUUUCAUGACUACUUACGGAAGCAAUAUCAGUAGGCGAAAGAGAGUUAAAAGCUUUUUGUUGUUGCUGAUUUGCUCUAGCCUACAGGGUUACUUAUAUUUAUAACACAAGGACCAGACUGUUUCUCCAAUGCUUAGGUAGGAGGGCAAACAGUGGAAUCGCACGGGCCCACCUAAAAUCAAGCAAAUUUAGUACUAUAAAGGACCCAGAUUUUUUUUUUUUUUUUUAUGACAGCAAGGGUCUAACUUUUCUUUUUCCACUUACAAUCUCAUAUUUACACAAUAUUUAAAAGACAUAAUAGUCUGUUUUUUUUUAUAUUUACAAAAUACAAAUAAAUUAAUAAUUUUAGAUAAGUUUUAUAUACUUUAAUAAUAUUAUGAUGAUAAAAUUAAAAUUAAUUAAUUAUAGAGAACUAUAAAAAAAUUUCGCCCAAGAAUCCUUUAUAUUGUUAAGUCGCCCCUAUGUUUAUUAGAUCUUUUUAGUCGGUGACAGAACUGUAUUUUUCAGUAUAACCUAGCAAUUUCCUUUCUUUUUAAGACGAGUAAACAUUUCUCUUUUUUUUAACAAAUAAGAGAUUAACAAUUUCCGUUUUCACUUUCUUUAUCUUUGCGUUUUGCAAUAGCUAUGAAAUCAUAAAGACACACGUUGAAAUUAAAGACAUCUAUUUAUCUUCUAUCUUAUUAAAAACAAGUACAAAUUAAAAUUUACCGGUUUUAAAAUGUUUUAUUGCGGUUUUUAACUAGUUAUUAAUUGUAUUUACCAUACUAAUUUUGGCAGAUAUUUAUUAACUCUCUUUUAUGUAUUUAUUUCAGUUUUGUCAUUAACAUAUUAACUAUUCAUAGAUUUCAUCAUUAAUUAUUUUUAUCAUUGAAAAAAACAGAAAUUGUUUUACCUAGUUCGUUAUUCUAACUAAUUAAUAUUUCGACUACUCACUAAAAUUUAAAUAUUUAAAUCAAACGGUUUAUAAUUCGCUGUUUGAACGAAUUAAUUUAUAUUUAAACAAACUAUUCAUUUUAGAAGGCAAUCUAAUAUGUUUAUAGAAUAUUCCUAAAAUAUAGAUAACCAGUACACCACAUAAUCUCAUAUGUAGAUUCUGUAAUUAUUCAUAAUAAAAAUACUUACUUAUCCAUAAUUUGUAAUAAUUUUUAAGCUUUAAAUAUUUUAUCUUAUUAAAACAGAAAUACAAAACACAAUUUACCAAUUUUAAGUUGUUUUAUUACAGUUUUUACAUUUUUCAAUCAUCUUAACUACUUCACUAAUAGUCUUUACCAUAAUAAUUUGACAUAUAUUUAUGAAUUCUCUUUUUAUAUAUUUUAUUCUAGUUUUUGUCAUUAACAUAUUAAGUUAUUAACUACUCAUAGAUUUCAUCAUUAAUUCUUUUUGUUGUUUAAAACAAGCAUAAAAAUUACAUAAUUCGUUAUUCUAAAUAAUUAAUAAUUGAUUUACUGACUCUUUUUUAUUAUGUUAAUCAAAUGGUUAAUAAUUCGCUAUUCUAAAUAAUUUAUUUAUUUUUAGACAAAAUAUACAUUUUAGAAGGUAAUCUAAUGUGUUUUUAGAUUAUUCCUAAAAUAUAGAUAACCAUUUCACCACAUAAUCUCAAAUGUAUUUUCUGUAAUUAGUCAUAGUACAUAUAUUUACUUAUUCAUAUAUUUUGAAUCACUUUUUAAUUAUUUUUAAACUUUAUAUAUAUAUAUAUAUAUUAUUAAAAUAGAAGUACAAAAGUUACAUGUUUAAAAUAUUUUAUUACAGCUUUUACAUUUUCUUCACCCAUCCUAAUUACAUCAUUAUUUGUCUUUCAAAUAAUAAUUCCGCAUAUAUUUAUUAACUCCUUUUUAUGUAUUUUAUUACAUCUUUUGCCAUUAACACAUUAAUUACUCAUAGAUUUAGUCAUUACUCCCUCUGUUUUUAUUUAGUUGAUGUUUUAGAGGAUUGCACACAAAUUAAGCAAAUUGUUUAUCAUUGUUUUAAUAUACAAUUGCUCUCAAUCAUAACUAUUAAUGCAAGGGUAGAUAAAGUAAAAAGUCACUAUAUUCUGCAUAAAAGUUUGGAUACGUUAAAUAAAUUGACACAUAACAAAUCGUACAUUUUUAGAAUGAAAUCAAAUAUGUUUAUAGAAUAUUCCUAAAAUAUAGAUAAUCAAUUUACCACAUAAUCUCAAAAUUAUAUUCUAUAAUUAUUCAUAAUACAAAUACUUACUUAUUCAUAUAUUUUGUGUCUUGCUUUUAAUAAUUUUUAAGUUUUAAAUAUUCAUUAUUUAAUAAAGAAACAUAAUUAAUUAAAACAGUAUUAUAAUUUGUGAAAACCAUAUAUAACAAAACUUUUGCAGGGUUUUCCCUCGAAUUUAUUAAACUAAUGGAUUAAUCUACUUUAUUUUCAUAAAUGUGAAAUUAUAUUUAUUUAAACUGUAAAAUAUAAAUAGUUAAGUAAAAUAAUAAAUUAGUGUGUCAAAAUAUUAUUUUAUGUAUAUUUUCAUAUAAAUAAUAGUCCAAUUCGAAUGCAAUACAAUAAAUAUAUGAUAAAAAAUUAUGGGUGAUUCACUUGACGGUUCAAAAAGCAAAAUUAUUUAAUAUAUAUUAAAAAAUUAUUGUAUUUAAAAUAUCAUAUUAAACAAUUAUUUAAUACAGAUUAAUUUUUAAAAAUGUAUAUCACCAUUAUACAAAGCAAAUAUUUACUUCUAAAAAAUUCAAAGAUAUUCACACGAAUGAAACUCUAGUCAUGAUUAAGCGAGAACAUGUAACUUAAUUAGGGUAUUACAAACAUGAGUUGUUUACGAGAUCAGACACAUUUGAGUUUCUUUUUACACAUGGAAACAUCUAGCAUUUGGCACACCUUUCUUGAAGAGCUGUCCUUUUGCGGACCAUUAUAUCCUCACGCUCAUUUACUUGUUUGUAUUUUGUUAGGUUAAAGUAACUAAAUGGUUUUGGUCAGGUGAAGUGUGGAUAUUUCAGUUUGAAUAUGGGAAAGUGUAUAUUAAUCUGAGCCACACGUUUGAAAUUUUCUAAAGAGAUCUAGCUAAUCCAAUGGUGGUGAAUAUUUAUUGGAGAUUGUGUUUGAUAACGAAGUUGUGGACAGAUGAGAGCAAAUUAUGGACGGACAAGAUUUUAAUAUACGCAUUGGUUGUACACAUCUUGUAUGCAUUUUCAUUUUUAGAUUUCUCGUGAAUCAAUUCACAAUAGACAAAAAUGUUACGAGAAGAGAUAAAUAGACAAAAUAUAUUGGUGUUCAUAACAAUUGUAUCCACAUCCACUGUCAAAUCUAUUGUCUUCUUCCAUUAGAGAGAUCAUGACUUCUGAGUUAACUUAGGAAGAACGAUUCAAGAACUCUGUUGAUACAAAGUCUCUUAAAAAAAUUGCAUCUACAUCCACACAAAAAAAUGCAGUCAAACCCUAAGAAAACAAAAAAAAAACUACGUUGAGAAAUUCAAAAAA